rnacentral:lncRNA from 1 species
GUAAAAAGAGCAUGUGGGAUUGGAGAUGUUCUUGAGGCCACAGUUACUGAUAAAGUGGUUUUUAGGACAUAGCCUAGGUCUAGGGGUCAGAAGAGGUAUGUGGCUUCAGUAAAGCUUUCUCACAUGGAAACAACGAAGUGGGAAUAAAUGAGACUUGCUCUUGAGAGAAGAGCAUUUCAGCAGAGGGAAGAUCGGUCGCAAAGGCCCUGCCAUGGGCAAGAGUGGAGUGUGCUCCAAGAACUGGAGGCUAGCAUGUAGCAGAGGAGGCAGUAGCAGAGGAGGAGAGGUUGAUGGGGGAGCUGCAUUUGGAGAGUCUGGCAGGCAGGACCUUGAAUGCCAGGCUAAGGAGUUUAUUGGGAGGCAAGUGGGUGCUGAUAAAGGCUCAAGGAUUCCAUCAGGCUGUUCCCACAAAGACCUGGGCCACCUCAGGGCACCAUAUCCCCAUAUCCAGGAGCCAGUUGUGUCCCAGAGAAAACAAGGGACUGGACCUUGAGACUUGGCCAGUGUCCUUCACAUCCUACCCUGUGCACGCCCCUGUUUGGCCUGUGGUGCAGAAGGCCCCUGGGAGACCUGAAGCAGAAGCUGCAGACCAUUCCAGGUUAGUGUGGAGCCCCAGAGUGGGAUCUGAAGGGACCAGGGCUUACCCCAGGGGUGACGACCUCCUGCACCCCCAGGAUCCCACCACCCUCAGCCCUUUGCCAAAUCGGACUAUUCCCUGGGGGUGAUGCUGCUGGUCAGAGCAGAGCAUUGGGAUGGACCUCAAGGUGAUGCCCACUCCACUCAUAGCCUCAUCCAUGGCUUGGCUGAUAUGUCGCUGUUGUGGGUGCCUCCCGGAGAAUCCCCGCUCAGACCAUCGCAUUCACCCUCACAGCUCCCAAGCACAGCUUGAGUGCGACUGGCAUUACAGAGAUGCGGAAACCGAGGCCAUGGGAGAACCGGGGAGGAGGGACUGAAACCAGCAGAGGAUGGAGCGGGGACUAGAACCUCAGACGGGGGCCUCCCAGCGGCCCAGCUUCACCCCUCCCGCCCCAUAUUCGCUAGGGGGUCGUCUGCACGUCGUUUGUAUACAUCUGUCCAGGCGAGGGGUGGUGAUGAGGACCCAGGCUCCUGGCCCUGGGACUCGACUGCUGCUGAAACCCCCACCGCCGCGCCCUUCCUGGUGACUUCCGAUACCCAUCGGGACGCUCGGCGCCCUUGCGGCGGUCAGAACUCGCGGGACGCUCGGUCCUCCCCCCCCUGGGGAACGCCGAUGACUAGGGGGCUCCGGCCUGCACCCUCCCGGACCGCCUGGUAGGGGCGGGACCAGAGCGGGCCGGAGAGGGCGGGGCCCGGGUGGCUGGUGGGGCGGGGCCUGCGGGACAGUCGGGCGAGGCUGGGGCGGGCGCGAGCCUGAGAGGAGUGACGGACAGGGCAGGACCGCGGGGCGGGGCUUGGUUGACUGACAGGGUGGGGCGCGGCUGGGGCGUGCGGUGGCGAGCUGGACUACAGCGAAGGCAGGGCUAGAGAGGGGCGGCGGUCCCCGUGCGGGGGCGGGACCAGAGAUGACCGCAAGAGCAAGGUGAGGGACGGCUCGCCGUUGCUGCCUGGGCUGCCACCAGCCGGCUCCAUCUCUCCGCCCGAGUGCGUCUGCCCUAGGCGAGGGCGUUGCAGAGGAGAUCAGACCCGCGAAGGAGGUUUCCAUCUUCCGGGUUUCCAUCUCGUCACUGGUCCCAUCUCAGUGAAAGCCAGCCAAGGGCGUCCACCUACCCCUGAUCUCGCCACGGGAUCGGUCCCAGGGCCAGGAAAUUCGCCUUUAGCGGCGGUCCCCGUGGCAGCCCUGGUUCGGCGUUGGUUUUGACCCGGCCCUCCUGUCCACUGUUGCAGAAACGCUUUCAGGAGUGGCCCCUGGGGCUGCGGGUCUUCUUGCGAUUCCUCCGAGACUCGCGGAGAUUCCUCCGAGUCUGCGCUUCCGCCCGGGCGCCCUCAUGCUGGCGCCGCCCGUCACCCUGCAGGCCUCAGGGUCCCGGAAUCACGGCACCCGCACCGAGCCUGCGCCGUAGCCCUCGUUACUGCUGCGGAGCGGAAGGCCUCGCUCCCCAUUCCUGGCCACGCCCCCUCUGUUCACCGGCCCCGCCUUACGCCCAACUGGCCCCACCCCCUUGGUGCCUCCGUUUCCCUGCUGUUCCCUGACCCCACCCUUACAGUGCAGUCCCC